GGCUGUUGCUAUGGCACUGAUGCUUCCUAAACCAUCGAGAAGGACUGCUCACUCUGGAUUAAAGAUCUUUAAACAUUGACCACGGUUUGCAUAAACUACAAUGCAGUACAAUGUGCACCGUUUAAUAGGCGACCUGGUUAUAACAACUGUUGUCCCGUGUCCUCCAUAAUUUCAUGAUUAUUUAUCACUGGGAUUUCAUAGCUGUUGAAUACUUCGCCCAGAUGGCCUAGAUUUCAUUUCAUACAUGGUUUAAGUGGUCCAGUAACAGUGUUAUUUUCUAAAGUAGAGUAAAUAGAGGAAGACGUACUCUAUAGAGGAUUAAGGAAGAAGGGAGGACACCCAGGGAAGGACACUACCGAAUACUGGACGCGGAGCUACCUCGAUCCAACUUCUGCCGAGCUGCUUUAAGUCUAUUGGUGUUAAGGCAGCGCGUAACUCAACCAUGGCUGAGGGUUCAAAAGGUAAAGAGACGGCGAAAGCCACGGACAGAUGCCUCGAGAAAGGGAACCCCGAGCACCACCAUGACCAUCACCACAGCCACUUUCACCACCCGCAUGUUCACAUCAAGAAAGAAACCAGUAUUAUCUUGAAGAAGAAGGAGUUCAUCUUCUGUUUGGUUGGUGGGCUGUGCCUCGUGGCGGGACUCGUCUUCUUCAUCAUAUCCAUGUACAGUAUCAGGAACUGCUGUGCUUGUCCCGGCGGGGGAAGGAUAAAUCCGAUCUUGCCUGAAGACCAACAGAAGGCAGGAGCCAUCCCCUGAUGUACAGCAUUCAUACUGCAUGGAUAUUGUUCGAAGUACGAUAAACAUUGACAUAUUGUCAAUACGCAGAGACAAUUCUCGGUAUUGUACAAUAUGAAAGGCACAGUAUUCAGGACAGCUGCAACCAGUGUGAUUGAUGUGACAGUAAUUAAGCCACUUGCAGUAACUUCCUACGCUUUGUUCAGUGUAAGCAAGGUUAAAGGUGGCUGUAGGCCUGGGAACAAAGCCGUUGGAUUGGCGAUCUCAGAAGGUUACUUAUCUUUCUGGAAUUUUUCUCCAGGGGUAUAAGAUCCCUUCACACCACUCAUCAACUAAAGAUAAAUUAGCAUGAGACCAUUGGUAGAGUUUGACAAUGUAUAUUCAUUGUCAUUGUACAAUUUUUAAUUACUUGUAAUAAACUCUGACUUUAGACAA